AACGCGAAGAACCUUACCAGCCCUUGACAUCCCGGUCGCGGGAACGAGAGAUCGAUCCCUUCAGUUCGGCUGGACCGGAGACAGGUGCUGCAUGGCUGUCGUCAGCUCGUGUCGUGAGAUGUUGGGUUAAGUCCCGCAACGAGCGCAACCCUCGCCCUUAGUUGCCAUCAUUAAGUUGGGCCCUCUAAGGGGACUGCCGGUGAUAAGCCGCGAGGAAGGUGGGGAUGACGUCAAGUCCUCAUGGCCCUUACGGGCUGGGCUACACACGUGCUACAAUGGCGGUGACAGUGGGAUGCAAUGGGGUAACCCUGCGCAAAUCUCAAAAAGCCGUCUCAGUUCGGAUUGUGCUCUGCAACUCGAGCACAUGAAGUUGGAAUCGCUAGUAAUCGCAGAUCAGCACGCUGCGGUGAAUACGUUCCCGGGCCUUGUA
rnacentral:rRNA from 1 species